rnacentral:rRNA from 1 species
UACGUAGGGGGCUAGCGUUGUCCGGAAUCAUUGGGCGUAAAGCGCGUGUAGGCGGUUCGGUAAGUCCGCUGUGAAAGUCGGGGGGCUCAACCCUCGGAUGCCGGUGGAUACUGUCGAGCUUGAGUACGGAAGAGGCGAGUGGAAUUCCUGGUGUAGCGGUGAAAUGCGCAGAUAUCAGGAGGAACACCAAUUGCGAAGGCAGCUCGCUGGGACGUUACUGACGCUGAGACGCGAAAGCGUGGGGAGCAAACAGG